GAUGAACGCUAGCUACAGGCUUAACACAUGCAAGUCGAGGGGCAGCAUGGUCUUAGCUUGCUAAGGCCGAUGGCGACCGGCGCACGGGUGAGUAACACGUAUCCAACCUGCCGUCUACUCUUGGACAGCCUUCUGAAAGGAAGAUUAAUACAAGAUGGCAUCAUGAGUUCACAUGUUCACAUGAUUAAAGGUAUUCCGGUAGACGAUGGGGAUGCGUUCCAUUAGAUAGUAGGCGGGGUAACGGCCCACCUAGUCUUCGAUGGAUAGGGGCUCUGAGAGGAAGGUCCCCCACAUUGGAACUGAGACACGGUCCAAACUCCUACGGGAGGCAGCAGUGAGGAAUAUUGGUCAAUGGGCGAGAGCCUGAACCAGCCAAGUAGCGUGAAGGAUGACUGCCCUAUGGGUUGUAAACUUCUUUUAUAAAGGAAUAAAGUCGGGUAUGUAUACCCGUUUGCAUGUACUUUAUGAAUAAGGAUCGGCUAACUCCGUG
rnacentral:rRNA from 1 species